rnacentral:rRNA from 1 species
UACGGUCUCAGUUCAGAUUGCAGGCUGCAACUCGCCUGCAUGAAGUUGGAAUUGCUAGUAAUCGCGAAUCAGAAUGUCGCGGUGAAUACGUUCCCGGGCCUUGUACACACCGCCCGUCACACCAUGAGAGUCGAUAACACCCGAAGCCUGUGAGCUAACCUUUUAGAGGCAGCAGUCGAAGGUAGAAUCAAUGAUUGGGGUGAAGUCGUAACAAGGUAAC